rnacentral:rRNA from 1 species
UACGGAGGGUGCAAGCGUUAUCCGGAAUCAUUGGGUUUAAAGGGUCCGUAGGCGGGCGUCUAAGUCAGUGGUGAAAUGCAGGGGCUCAACUCCGGCACUGCCAUUGAUACUGGACGUCUUGAAUUAUUGUGAAGUGGCCGGAAUAUGUAGUGUAGCGGUGAAAUGCUUAGAUAUUACAUAGAACACCGAUUGCGAAGGCAGGCCACUAACAAUAUAUUGACGCUGAUGGACGAAAGCGUGGGUAGCGAACAGG